AACUUUUUCAAUGGUUCCAUCCCUUCCACCAUUGGAAAUUUAUCCAGUCUUGUGAAGUUAAGUCUUUCUUCUAACCAACUUACUGGAACCCUUCCUCCUGAAAUAGGCAACCUCAAAAUGUUAGAAGAGUUGGACUUGAGCUCAAAUAAUUUGCAAGGAACUCUUCCCAUGUCAAUAACCAAUUUACAAAGCCUCACCCUGUUAUAUGUUUCAUUCAACAACUUCUCAGGAAGCAUUCCAGUUGAUUUUGGACCCAGAUUCUUAACAAAUGUGAGCUUCUCCUACAAUAAUUUUUCUGGAAAGCUGCCUCCAGGAAUUUGUAGAGGUGGGAACCUCAUCUAUUUAACUGCCAAUGUAAAUAAACUCGUGGGACCUAUUCCAGAAAGUCUUUGGAACUGCACAGGACUAACCAGAGUUAGGCUUGAGCAGAAUCGUCUGGAUGGAGAUAUCACGAAUGCAUUAGGCAUAUACCCAGAUCUGCAAUAUAUUGACUUGGGAGACAACCAGCUUUCUGGAAUGUUGACAUCAAACUGGGGAAAGUGCACCAAUCUCUCAAACUUUCGCAUAUCUGCUAAUAGAAUAAAGGGCGGUAUCCCAGCGGAGCUUGGAAAUUUGACAUAUUUGCAGAAUCUCGACAUUUUUGAUAACCAACUGACCGGGAAAAUUCCAGCACAGCUUUUCAGAUCUUCAUUUCUCAUCAGACUGAAUUUGAGGAGGAACCAACUCUCAGAUAAGAUAC
rnacentral:lncRNA from 1 species